rnacentral:rRNA from 1 species
ACAGCAGUCGCCACGGUAAUACAGAGGGUGCGAGCGUUAAUCGGAUUUACUGGGCGUAAAGCGUGCGUAGGCGGCUUUUUAAGUCGGAUGUGAAAUCCCUGAGCUUAACUUAGGAAUUGCAUUCGAUACUGGGAAGCUAGAGUAUGGGAGAGGAUGGUAGAAUUCCAGGUGUAGCGGUGAAAUGCGUAGAGAUCUGGAGGAAUACCGAUGGCGAAGGCAGCCAUCUGGCCUAAUACUGACGCUGAGGUACGAAAGCAUGGGGAGCAAACAGGAUUAGAUACCCCAGUAGUCCCUGUCUCUUAUAA